GAUAAAAAACUGAUUUUUUUUGUAUUUGUCUUCCAAAGCAACCCUAUUGCAGCAAAGAAGCAACAUUCAGAAUCAAUGUAGAAACUUAUAACAAAAAGAUACCUCAAUCACAGAGGGAGCAUUAUUAUGAGGCCCUUUCAUUUUUACCAUUUAAAGGAAGAGUUGCUUUGGAUAAUCCAGAAAAUCAGUUUUCUCUUGUCCUGGACUUUGGGCAAGAUACAAAUGUAGCAGCUGAAACGCCUUGUAGAUAUUAUUUUGGACGUUUGAUUGGUAAAGGACAACGUCACUUAUGUCAGAARUACUCUUUGAAGGAUAGGUACUUUAUUGGUAAUACAUCAAUGGAUCCAUUGCUAUCAUUCUUUAUGGCUAAUCAAGGACAGGUAU